rnacentral:rRNA from 1 species
AUUGAACGCUGGCGGCAGGCCUAACACAUGCAAGUCGAGCGAGCGGCGGACGGGUGAGUAAUGUCUGGGAAACUGCCUGAUGGAGGGGGAUAACUACUGGAAACGGUAGCUAAUACCGCAUACCCUCAGAUGUGCCCAGAUGGGAUUAUCUAGUAGGUGGGGUAAUGGCGCACCUAGGCAACGAUCCCUAGCUGUUCUGAGAGGAUGACCAGCCACACUGGGACUGAGACACGGUCCAGACUCCCACGGGAGGGAGCAGUGGGGAAUAUUGCACAAUGGGCGCAAGCCUGAUGCAGCCAUGCGGCGUGUAUGAAGAAGGCCUUCGGGUUGUAAAGUACUUUCAGCGAGGAGGCGUUACUCGCAGAAGAAGCACCGGCUAACUCCGUGCCAGCAGCCGCGGUAAUUC